UCUACUUUCAGUACAUAUCUUUUUGUAGUGCUGAGAAAUUAAUUAUGUAUAUUUCUACUUUUUUUUCCUAGGCUAGGGCCCAUGUAGUGUGCGGGGGUGACCAGAAUCUCAGUACCAUGUGACUAACCCCUCCCCUUCCCCUCCUCUCCUCAGUGUCCUUUUGUCCUUGCUUUCCCCCCCCCCCCCUCUCAGCGUCACUGUGUUGACCACUUCUAUAACAAAUUUACCCCGUGAAUAAACGUAAUUUCUCCUGCUUGGCCAGGUUAUAGAGGCGAAUUUUUCACCUAAUCCCAGAGAAUGGGGAGCCCUUAAUAUGAUAAAAUUAAUUCUAUAAUGGUAAGGUCUUAAACCAGCCCAAACAAAUCCCAGAUAAUUACACCGCGCCAAUGAGGUUGACGAAUCUGAUAAGUCUUCUUUGCUUCGCUGCCCUGUCACCCCUGUUGCUACGCAAGCCGGGAAGAGAUACCAGACUUUGACUAAUUCCCCAAUUGAUUUCAAAAGUCCAUUGAAUUAAACUUCUUAAAGUAACAACUAUAAAGUAAACAGUAACUUAAUUAUUCAUAUUUUUCAUCCCUGAACUCACAACCUAGUCGCCCCCCCCCCACUAAAAACAAAAUUAUAACUUAAUAAAUUUCCCCAUUGGAAACCUUUAUCCUUAGUUUCCCGCCGAUUUCCUCACAAGCAAAGCCAGUCUCUCUCGGAUUCUCCUCAGACCCUCUUGGAUUCCCCUCAGAUAUUCCUGUUGAUAAACUAUUUCUGAGUGGAUAGAUAUUCGCAUUUUUUUUCGUUUUUUUUUUUUUGUUGGUUUUCUCCACGGGACUAGUGAAACCACCUGGUUCGAGAUCACCGUGUGAGACUGUCCUCAGGUCUAUACAUACUUUUUGGGUAUAUAUUUGUUAUUUAUUUAUUUAUUCUCUGGUCUCCCCCACAACUCAGUAGUCGCGAAAAUAUCUCCAUCGUAGUUUUUAUGUAAUUGAAGAAUACGCUACCAUUUAUUUUGUAUUUCUGAAUUAUGUAACUGAAGAGUACGCUAUCAUUUAUUUUGUAUUUCUGAAUUAUGUAACUGAAGAGUACGCUACCAUUUAUUUUGUAUUUCUGAAUUGCUUUCUUUUUAUUAUUAUUAUUUCGGAUUAUUCCAUUAUUUAUUAAAAAUCAUAAAAGUGUCAGUAUUUGUAUUUCUCUUAAUCCAGUGAUAGGAUUUGUAAUUAUCGUCUGCCACAAGGGAACAUCACACCCCUUAGAGGGCACUAAACUGGUGAGCAGCGGUGGCAUUUAUUUCGCGACUGACCGAAAGAGGUGGAGACUGGAAAUAAUUGUAAAUGUUGAAGGUGAUGAUGAUGCCAAGCGAGACAUUCAAAGGAGGGCGUGCACGUGCAUGGUGGUGAGCAGGUGAUGAUUGGAGAGGCACAGAACGUUCAGGAUGGAGGAGGAGGAGGAGCAGGAGUCUUUGUGUAUAGGAAGGAGAAAGAAGGAGGAUAGGAGUAAUAAGUAAUAAUGCAAGGAGAAUGGAGGAGGAGGAGGAGCAGGAGUCUUUGUGUAUAGGAAGGAGAAAGGAGGAGGAUAGGAGUAAUAAGUAAUAAUGCAAGGAGAAAGGAGGUGGAGGAGGAGUAAUGAAUAACAAUGAUUAAGAGGAAAACCAGAGGAGGAGAAAUAGUAAUGAACUAUAAUUUUUUUUCUUGAGUAAUGACAAAACAUGCACAUGAGCUUUCUGGCCACCUGGGUCAGAAAAAGACAAUUAAAAAGGCCGAAGAAUUGUUUUACUGGUGUAAUCUCAAGUUUGACGUAACCCAGUACGUAAAGAAUUACCUUCAGUAGAGAAGCCCUUAGAUAGGAUAGGUAUAGACCUGACGGAUAUGAUUGCAGGCAGUGGUGGCUACCGAUAUGUGUUGACUAUCGUAGAUCACUUUAGCCGAUUUGUGAAGUUCUAUCCACUCAAAAACAAACUAUCAGAGGGAAUUGUAGAGGCGCUGCAGCAGUACAUUACCGACUUCGGGACUCCUCACUCCAUCGUCCUGGACAACGGGGGCGAGUUCACCUCCCAGAUCUUCCAACAAUUCUGCCAGCAACACCUCAUCACCCUCUGUUACACCACUCCCUACCACCCGCAAGGGAACGCCAUCACCGAACGACUCCAUCGCACGCUCAAAUCCAUCUUGGCUUCCAUGUGCCGAGGUUACCCGCUACGGUGGCCUCGCCUACUCCCUGUGUGUCAGGCCACUAUGAAUGCCGCCGUCCAUACCAGUAUCGCCCAACAACCUUUCCUCGCGUUUUUCUCCCGGCAUGCGCCCCGAGUGGUGGGUGCCAGGCUACCCGCAGUUGAUGGUGACGAGCAAGACGUGGAUGUGGUCCGCCGGCUGAUCCGGGAAACACACGAGAAAAUGACUCGGAAAUACCGUAAUGCGGCCAACAAGGAAACGCAAGGAGCAGAAGGUAGACAUUGGGGCGUUGGUGUGGGUGAAGCGAGAAACUACAGAGUCAGGAGUGUGUAAGAAACUGUGUGUUCGUUGGGACGGCCCAUAUAAGGUGGUGGAAGUUUUAAGAGGAGGCGGUGGUUAUGUGGUGAAAGACCCUUUCUCGGGAAAGAUGGUGCAAAGAGCGGCAGAAAAGAUCAAACAGUUUCACAGUGAGGAAGAGUACGUAGUUGCGGCUCAAGACAGUGUUCCAACCUGAUAUAGAAACUGAAGUGUUACCGCCUAGAGUGCGUAACCGUCCCAGACGCUAUAUUGAGAAAUGUUAAUGUCGCUGGAAAGACGGUAUAGAAAAGAGCAGAGUGCUUGGGGUAAAUAGAGUCCCCCCCCUUACUUUUGCAUGGUCUGGCUGGACUGGUUGUAAUGAAUCGUGGUAUGACGGGUAUGGGUACUAUGUGAGAGGUGAUGUAAGAAUUUGAGAAGGAAUAAGGAACCACUUUAAUUCGCAGACUACUACUGCACUCGACAAUCCGUUCGGGCCAUUCUGUGGUGGAUUACUUCAGGACGUGGCGAGCGCUUCGCGUAAUCAUCUAUAGUAUCUCGUGGUAUGAGUGAAUGUGUGGAUGAGUAAAUGACUGUCCGAGUGGAAGGAACCGAGUACUGGGGUGGCCGAAUCUCGUUUCAGAGAGUGACGGAGUGACUUAAGGUUAAGUCCUCACACCACAGGAGGUCAAGAGGCUGGUUGGGGUGGAAUUUCUUUUCUUUUUCCUUGAGAUGAGAGAAAGAGCCGAGUUAUGUCUCCAAGGGACAUUGUGGUGAUAUGGCCCACAAGCCAUUGUAUGGGAGAGAAUGUCAGAGUUAUUUCCCGACAGAGAUCACGUGCAGUUCGUCAGCCUGGCUUGGUUAUGUGGUGGUGAGGGGAGUUUCUAAUUACUCGGAUGUGAAGGUGUUAUUUUAUUUUUUUUGGUAAGGAGAAAAGAGAGAGGUGAAAAAUUCUAGAACGGAUGAAAGGCUCGUGUAGUGCUGAGAAAUUAAUUAUGUAUAUUUCUACUUUUUUUUCCUAGGCUAGGGCCCAUGUAGUGUGCGGGGGUGACCAGAAAUCUCAGUACCAUGUGACUAACCCCUCCCCUUCCCCUCCUCUCCUCAGUGUCCUUUUGUCCUUGCUUUCCCCCCCCCCCCCCUCUCAGCGUCACUGUGUUAACCACUUCUAUAACAAAUUUACCCCGUGAAUAAACGUAAUUUCUCCUGCUUGGCCAGGUUAUAGAGGCGAAUUUUUCACCUAAUCCCAGAGAAUGGGGAGCCCUUAAUAUGAUAAAAUUAAUUCUAUAAUGGUAAGGUCUUAAACCAGCCCAAACAAAUCCCAGAUAAUUACGCCGCGCCAAUGAGGUUGACGAAUCUGAUAAGUCUUCUUUGCUUCGCUGCCCUGUCACCCCUGUUGCUACGCAAGCCGGGAAGAGAUACCAGACUUUGACUAAUUCCCCAAUUGAUUUCAAAAGUCCAUUGAAUUAAACUUCUUAAAGUAACAACUAUAAAGUAAACAGUAACUUAAUUAUUCAUAUUUUUCAUCCCUGAACUCACAACCUAGUCGCCCCCCCCCCCCACUAAAAACAAAAUUAUAACUUAAUAAAUUUCCCCAUUGGAAACCUUUAUCCUUAGUUUCCCGCCGAUUUCCUCACAAGCAAAGCCAGUCUCUCUCGGAUUCUCCUCAGGUGAGCAUGCAGUCUGAUAGUCUCCCCCUCCAUUCCUGUAAUAUUAAGUAAGUGUUUAUUUAACAAUAAUUUACUAAAGCCAGUCUCUCUCGGAUUCUCCUCAGACCCUCUUGGAUUCCCCUCAGAUAUUCCUGUUGAUAAACUAUUUCUGAGUGGAUAGAUAUUCGCAUUUUUUUUCGUUUUUUUUUUUUGUUGGUUUUCUCCACGGGACUAGUGAAACCACCUGGUUCGAGAUCACCGUGUGAGACUGUCCUCAGGUCUAUACAUACUUUUUGGGUAUAUAUUUGUUAUUUAUUUAUUUAUUCUCUGGUCUCCCCCACAACUCAGUAGUCGCGAAAAUAUCUCCAUCGUAGUUUUUAUGUAAUUGAAGAAUACGCUACCAUUUAUUUUGUAUUUCUGAAUUAUGUAACUGAAGAGUACGCUAUCAUUUAUUUUGUAUUUCUGAAUUAUGUAACUGAAGAGUACGCUACCAUUUAUUUUGUAUUUCUGAAUUGCUUUCUUUUUAUUAUUAUUAUUUCGGAUUAUUCCAUUAUUUAUUAAAAAUCAUAAAAGUGUCA